rnacentral:rRNA from 1 species
ACGCACAUUGCGCCCCUUGGUAUUCCGGGGGGCAUGCCUGUUCGAGCGUCAUUUCAACCCUCAAGCACAGCUUGGUGUUGGGCCCUGCCAGCGAUGGCAGGCCCUAAAAUUAGUGGCGGUGCCGCUGAGCCCUGAGCGUAGUAAUUCUCCUCGCUACAGGGCCUCUGCGUGCCCCCGCCAGAACCCCCCAAUUUUCUAUGGUUGACCUCGGAUCAGGUAGGGAUACCCGCUGAACUUAAGCAUAUCAAUAAGCGGAGGAAAAGAAACCAACAGGGAUUGCCUUAGUAACGGCGAGUGAAGCGGCAUAAGCUCAAAUUUGAAAUCUGGCUCUUUCAGGGUCCGAGUUGUAAUUUGUAGAAGAUGCUUCGGGUGUGGUUCCGGUCUAAGUUCCUUGGAACAGGACGUCAUAGAGGGUGAGAAUCCCGUAUGUGACUGGGUGCCUAUGCUCAUGUGAAGCUCUUUCGACGAGUCGAGUUGUUUGGGAAUGCAGCUCAAAAUGGGUGGUAUAUUUCAUCUAAAGCUAAAUAUUGGCCAGAGACCGAUAGCGCACAAGUAGAGUGAUCGAAAGAUGAAAAGCACUUUGGAAAGAGAGUUAAACAGUACGUGAAAUUGUUGAAAGGGAAGCGCUUGCAAUCAGACUUGCGCCUGGUUGAUCAUCCGGGGUUCUCUCCGGUGCACUCGAUCAGGCUCAGGCCAGCAUCGGUUUGGGUGGUUGGAUAAAGGCCUUGGGAAUGUGGCCCCCCU